rnacentral:rRNA from 1 species
UACAGAGGGUGCAAGCGUUGUCCGGAAUCACUGGGCGUAAAGGGCGCGUAGGCGGCCCGAUAAGUAGGGGGUGAAAUCUUGCGGCUCAACCGCAAGGCUGCCUUCUAGACUGUCGGGCUUGAGCACAGUAGAGGCAGGUGGAAUUCCCGGUGUAGCGGUGGAAUGCGUAGAGAUCGGGAAGAACAUCGGUGGCGAAGGCGGCCUGCUGGGCUGUUCUUGACGCUGAGGCGCGAAAGCUAGGGUAGCAAACGGG